rnacentral:rRNA from 1 species
AACAAGGUCUCCGUUGGUGAACCAGCGGAGGGAUCAUUAUCGAGUUAUUCAACUCCCAAACCCUAUGUGAACUUACCACUUGUUGCUUCGGCGCGCGCUUCGGCGCCGCCGAGGACACUUAAACUCUUUGUUUUUAUAAGCAUUUCUGAGUGGCCGAAAGGCAAAAAUACAAAUGAAUCAAAACUUUCAACAACGGAUCUCUUGGUUCUGGCAUCGAUGAAGAACGCAGCGAAAUGCGAUAAGUAAUGUGAAUUGCAGAAUUCAGUGAAUCAUCGAAUCUUUGAACGCACAUUGCGCCCGCCAGCAUUCUGGCGGGCAUGCCUGUUCGAGCGUCAUUUCAACCCUCGAGCCCGACUCUUUUGAGGACGGCUCGGCGUUGGGGGACGGCAGACUCCCCCCGGCAUCUCGCCGGGGACGCCGCCCCCGAAAUCUAGUGGCGGCCCUCCGAGGCGACCUCUGCGUAGUAACUUGUUCUCGCACCGGAAAGCUCAGAGCGGCCACGCCGUAAAACCCCAACUUUUUUCAGGUUGACCUCGAAUCAGGUAGGACUACCCGCUGAACUUAAGCAUAUC